rnacentral:lncRNA from 1 species
GAAUUCUCGGAAGUUAAACUUCAAGCACCCUCGUAGCUCGAGCUAUUUCAUUUUCCUGCACUACCAGACUGACAGUGUGGUGUCCUGAAUUAGCAUCUUCUAAGUCUACAGAUAUUCUGAAGUGGACCUCUUUGCAUCAGAUAUCAGAAGACAAUUUCUGACCUUCUCUGAAACAAACCAGCAUCCUGAUUUCUUGCCAUAAGUGCUUCACAUUUGGGUGAAGGCAGGCUGAUUAUUUUGUGAUGCAGAACCAAUGAGUCAGUAGCAAAAAAAACAGGCCCAGAAGCUGCCCCCUUUGGACACAGUCAGCAGGACAUAGACCAAGAUGUCUUCAACCACAAAGAUUCACUUGCUGGGUUCUUCCCCUGGAUGCAGGAUGAAAGGGUAGGGAUUACAGUGGGAGCUGCUUUGAGGAGCAAAUGUGGUGAGGUAAGGCUGGAGCAGGAACUGCUCUAAUGGUGGAGAACAACUUCAAAAGAAAUAGUAAGAACAGGUUAAAGAGGACUGUAAAGAGACACAGCUUAUGGAGCUAGGCAGUGAAGGAGCUCAGUGUUAAUGUUCUUAGCAGAAACAGCUGAGGAAAAUGUUUGAAAGAUGGACAGUGCUUCAGAUCAGAGUUGAGGUGGGGUUAGCUCAACAGUCUAGUGCAGCAGCUGCUAAUUAGCAGCUGCCUGUUAGCUCUCAGGUGGGACUGAGCAGCCUGAUGGGGUGGGGGAAGCAAGGGGGCCUUGCAGGCUGGCUGGGAAAGACAGCUGUGAGGAGCAGUGUGAGGAAGACAGCAGGUCUCAGUGCUGUGUGGUUUGGAGGAGUGGCAGGGUGCUGAGUAGAAUUUGUGGGGAGCAAGUACUAAGCAAGAUGUUGGGGAGGAGAAGCUGCAAGGAAGAAUACUCAUGGAAAGUAAUUGCUGUGGGAGAGGGAAGAGAGCUGCUGGGCUGAGCUGGAAGUCUUUGGUGGCACUGCUAGUUACCUGCUGAGUGCAGUGAAGACCUGCAAACCUGGUUCCAGUGCUGUGUUGAUUGCAAACUGGGCUGUUCCUGCUUUCUCCCUUUCCCAGGUGACAUCUGUGAAUUCUUCCAGGACAGCUGCAAGGCCAGCUUGCUCAGCAGUCACAGUCACAGUCUGCUGCUUGAAUUCCUCUGUGAGAUGGUUGCCUAUGUCUUCCUGUAUGCCUGUUUCCUGCUGAAAGAAUGAAGUGAUAAUCUUCUUGGUGUCCAAAUGUUUUCCUGUGUGAUCAAUGAAGCGGCUUGUCUUACAGCUGGGGAACAGUGUAAGCCUCAGAAUGUGAG